GGUCGUGUCGAUUCGAUCGGGAUACUCAUCAAAUAACAUUUACGCCGAGAUGACAUCUUUUGCCUAUGGCGGGCCAUAUAAAUCGCAUCUGCGACUAAGCUGCAAAGCCGGUGGAUUACAAAAGCGAAGAGCUCUCAAAUCAUAAUGAUUACUCGGAGUUUCAUCACAUCAUCGUGCGACCCUUUUU
rfam:Prevotella buccae ATCC 33574 genomic scaffold SCAFFOLD1, whole genome shotgun sequence.